rnacentral:tRNA from 1 species
UUUGUUGUGGUCUAGUGGUAAGGAUUUGCGGUUCUCUCCCGCAAGGUCCGGGUUCGAUUCCCGGCAACGGAA